CCUACGGGUGGCAGCAGUGGGGGAUAUUGCACAAUGGGGGGAACCCUGAUGCAGCGACGCCGCGUGGGUGAAGAAGCGCCUCGGCGCGUAAAGCCCUGUCAGCAGGGAAGAAAAUGACGGUAUCUGAAGAAGAAGCACCGGCUAACUACGUGCCAGCAGCCGCGGUAAUACGUAGGGGGCAAGCGUUAUCCGGAUUUACUGGGUGUAAAGGGGGCGCAGACGGGAAAGCAAGCCAGGAGUGAAAGCCCGGGGCUCAACCCCGGGACUGCACUUGGAACUGCGUGGCUGGAGUGCAGGAGGGGCAGGCGGAAUUCCUGGUGUAGCGGUGAAAUGCGUAGAGAUCAGGAGGAACACCGGUGGCGAAGGCGGCCUGCUGGACUGCAACUGACGUUGAGGCCCGAAAGCGUGGGGAGCAAACAGGAUUAGAUACCCGAGUAGUC
rnacentral:rRNA from 1 species